rnacentral:rRNA from 1 species
GGUCAGUGGCGAACGGGUGAGUAAUACAAAGGUAACUUACCCCGAAGUGGGGCAUAACCUCGCGAAAGCGGGGCUAAUUCCCCAUAUGCUCACUGGACGUAGGUUCAGUGAGGAAAGGCUUCGGUCGCUUCGGGAUAGGCCUUUGGCCCAUCAGCUAGUUGGUAGGGUAAUGGCCUACCAAGGCGAUGACGGGUAGGGGGUGUGAGAGCACGUCCCCCCACAUGGGAACUGAGACACGGUCCCAACUCCUACGGGAGGCAGCAGUCUAGAAAUUUGCGCAAUGGGCGAAAGCCUGACGCAGCGACGCCGCGUGGGGGAUGGAGUCCUUCGGGAUGUAAACCCCUGUUGCUGGGGACGAUGAUGACGGUACCCAGCGAGGAAGCCACGGCUAACUCCGUGCCAGCAGCCGCGGUAAUACGGAGGUGGCGAGCGU